UAGAAAAACCUCAACUGCCAUAGUCUGGGCCGCCACGGAUAUGUACCCUAGAUCUACCGAACAAACAGCAGUGCAUAGGUUUACUUCACAAAAAAAAAAAAAAAAAAAAAAAAAAAAAAAAACAUGGUUCUUUCUACUAUAUGUGAAAGAAAUAAUUCUCUCUUACAUAGUCAUUAUUUGGUAUUUAAAUUUUCUAACUUUCUCUUUGGCUACAAUAGUUAUUUUCUUAAACAACAAUAUUCAAUUAAACGUUAGUAGAAACCCAUAUUGUUAAUUUUUCUAUGUUUUUCUUUACUACAACCUUCAUUACAUUUGCUUCCCGAAUGAAAAGGGAGUGAUUUUUUUCCAAUAGUUAGUAAAGCUUGAACGAUAUAUUCAUUGGAUAAUUGUAAAACUAAAUGAACAUUUUGCUUCUCAAAGGUAUAGGAAGAUGAUGCUUUUCAUGAUAGUUUAUAUGAAUUUUUGUAGAGUAAACAUCUAUAUCAUGAAGUUUUUCAAAUGGCUGAAUGGUGCAUAAUAAAUUUCGUAUUCCAACUUAUUGAUAUGACACAAAGAAGAACUGGGGUAACUUAAUUGUUUUAUUUAUAACUUUAUGGCCAAGCCAAUUAUUCCUGAUAUAUUUGAACAAUUUUACUGAAACAUACUCGAAAAAGGACAUUUGUUACUCUGAAAUGGGUGAGGAUGCACUAUAGACAGCUGUGGAAUGCUGGGAAAAUAGGACAUUGCUUUCCCUGAUGAUAGCAUUAUGAUGUUACAGUGCAAAACAGUGUAAAAAUGAUUUUUUCUAAGCCUAUAAUUACUUUCUUCAGUGUGCAGUGCAGAACAUCAGCUUUUAUGCUUUAUUUGAGAAUUUGUACAACUUACUUGAAUUUAGACUUUACCUGUUCGACAUAAAGUAAAAUGCACCUGUUGCAGCUUCACUAUAGCCAAAGGCUGAACCAACAAUAUUUUUGCCUUUACCAUAAUGAAAAUAUGGUAUUAAGUACGUAUGAUGACCAAAGACGGUGUCAUAAGGAGAGCUACAUAACUGAAUAAUUUUACAGAACACCAUAGUUUUCUCAUUUUCAUUUUUUUAUUGCUUCUUCCCACUAUUAUAUAAUUCAGCUAGGUUUUAAUGAUUUAAUUUUCUAAGAGCUAGGCUAAUAUAAUGUUGACGAAAAGAAAUGACAUCAUACCAUUCAUAAUUAUCACAUAUUGUGUCAUUCCAAUGUUGACAAACUUCGGUUUUUUGCAGUUAUGGUGUUGUUUGAGGUACAGUUUGAAUAGACAGAUAAUAUUUACACACACAUUUGUAAAGAGCAUGCUUUUAUCUUCAUUUUGAAACAAAAAAUGAUGUCAUAGCAUAAAUAUUAACAAAAAUAUAAUAAUGUUAAAAAGUUAAGUA